UUCGAUGUUUGAUUGACGUGGUCAGUUGGCCAAUAGAAAAUGAGUUGGAAACGUCAUCAGCCAACGCAUUGCCAAACAAGAACGCGCUUUUGAGAGCAAGUCGAGUUGCGAAUGAGAGGACAGAGUAGCCUUUAUAUCUGAGCUUGUCUCAGAAGUCAAUAUGUCAGGGGAUGCCAGUGCCCUGUCGGACGACAUAGGAAUGCUGGCAUCAAAGUACAUCAAAGUGGAGGAGGUGGCGAAGAAGGUGGUCCGCAAAGGAGCUCCUAUGGCUCAACACAUUGCCAAUGUGAUGGAAACCAGUGAUCACCUCAACAAAAUCAGAGCGACGCUGCUGAAUCAAGAAGGCAUUGGCCAAUUUGACCUGGCCACUCAUUGGAUGGGGUCAGGGUGAUAAGUAUAGUAUUUGAAUUAAUAGGGGACAUCCUGAACCAAGAGAAACAAAUCAUCAGCAAGGCUUCGCUCCAGAGAUGGUCUAAUAGAGUUAAGAUGGCUUAUAGUAGCAUGUGAGCAGUGGAUUUUUUUUUUCCCUUUGCAGCUAAUUCGAAUUUGCAUGUAUUGUUAACAGUCGGAAAAAGAUUUUAUUUUAGGAUUGUGUAUUUUUUUAAUGUGUUGUUCCCUCACCAAUUUAAUAAAUUGAUGUUUUUUUUGCACACUCCGAGACUUUAGCCUUUUAAAUUAAAUAUUUAGUGACAAAAGCACAGCCUUAUAAAUAAUUUCCUU